CUGUUUUUAAGGACCUGUGUGCGUACCCACGUAACAUUUCAAAUCCUAGCUGAAAUCAUACUUACUUGUUUUGGUCCGUAAAGGCGUCUUUACGUAUUGCUGGUCAGCUAGCAAUGCUGGACUGAGUUCAUUACAGAGAACGUGUACUUGAAACAGAUCCACAGCAAAGGGCCCGAGUAAUGUUAGCACCAGAUAACAAAGUAUCGAUGAGUAUAGGGCGUCCUUAGAACUCACGAUGCAAGCCUUUAUCUUUGGAACCUCCAAGCUAAGAGAGCUAGAACCAAGAUCAUCUCGAUUUAUUGCUGUGGAAGAACAGAGGGAGAGAGAGUUCCCCAGAUGACAUUGAUUUCUUAGUAGGAGUUGUCCAGUGACCUAGACAAGCGCUUGCAUAAUCCACAGGUGGCCCAGAAAUGUGAUGUGCUGCCCAAGGAAGCCAAAGGGUGGAGGAAGGUAGGUGAACCCAUGUUUCAGGAGCAGACCUUGCCGACCCAACAUCAUAUUCUAGAGAGAGGGGAGGGUAAAUUCUGCAGAAUAUCCAUGCUCUCCUUUUCUGUCUUCUUGUAACUUUUUUUUUUCUCGUGACUUCUUGACUUCAAAGCAGACAACAGCACAUCUUUUUGUUGCCACCUGAUGAAGUUUGCCCUGCACUUAGGCUGUAAUCCUACUCUAAUGUGAGCAUUGCAGUCCUGACGUGGGAAGACUUCUGUCCACGUUAAUCACGCUUUCAAAACAGUAAAAUGGCAGCCUUUGUCCCAAGAAAGGGAGUCUCGUCUUGCCUUUUUUCUUUUCUUUCUCUUUUCUUGUUUUAAAUGUUUGUCGAUUUUCAGAGAGAGAGAGAGAGAGAGAGAGUGCGAGUGCGAGCAGCAGAGGGGCAGAGAGAGGGAGAGAGAAUCCCAAGCAGGCCCCGUGCUGUGGGCGCAGAGCCUGACAUGGCCUCGGUCCCACAAACCAUGAGAUCCAUGACCUGAGCUGAAACCAGGAGUCAGAAGUUUAACCGACUGAGCCCGUCAGGCGCCCCCCCUUUCUUUUUUUUAAGUUGUAUUUCUUGGGGUCUUAGACCCAAUAUAUCCACUGCUAAGAAAAACUGGUUUUAACCGCUUAAAGCUUUCCUAACUCUAGGUGUUGUUGGGCGAGUGUUCUGGCAACGACGUAGUUUGCUAUUGAGAAAUGACUAAGUAAACUAUAUGUCCCUUGCUGUGCCUCUGCCGAGUGCCAUUCAGUCAGCCAGAGCACCGCCCCUGCAUCCUGGUGGCCGUCUUAUCUCCUUUGAGGACGAAUGCUAAAACUACACGAACACUGUGCUUUCCUCCCAAGAGGAUUUUCAUUUUCUUGCAGUUCCCCGUGUUGGUUUUGAAAAGCUGUAUUUUGCGGCUAAGAGAGAAGGAAGUUAGACUGGCCUCCGUUACACACUCUUCAAAGUAACACUUCUCUGACUAAUGCCUCCGUUCUCACAGAGGAGUUCUAGAGAAGUAGGCAUUUUCUGCUGAUGAAAUGGCAGCUGGGGUCAAAGAACAUGGACCUCUCAAGCUGCCCCCUCAUGCCAGCCCUGGUUAUAAGGCUGUCCAUGUGGUGGUGAGAAAGUGCAUUUCCAGCUGGGCUUCUGGAAGCCUCGAGAUGGAGGGUAGUAAUGUGCCCCUGCAGAUCUGACGAAGCUACUCCCAGUGUUUGCUCUUCCUUCUGCCAGUUGCCUUCCUCUGUGCUUGCCAAGUUUCUGCUUCUUCGUGGCUUUGGCCGGCCAUGGCCCUGACUCCACCUCAUGGCAUCCUUUUACCUUCAGCAAAUAGAAAUAUGUCUUGCGCGUUCAGAUUCCCGAGGCAGAUAAAGACCUGGCCGGGGGUCCUAGAGAUGGCUAAUGUGUGAACUGACUGCCCUUUGGCCCAGGGUAGGCACCUGACCCAUUAACUGUGUCCUAGAGGAGAGGGGCAACAUCCAAUUACUCAACGUGACCUUCGCUGUUCAGCAGGGGUGUUGUCACAGGUACCAUGCCGUCUCCAGAACAGGGGAGUUAACGGGAGCUGGUUUUCUCCGUGGGCCCGGGUAGACACUUCAUUUGUAGUCCCGGUAGAAAGGUGAGCGUUACACAUAAUUCGGAUACUUGGCAUUUUUAAUACUGUUUAUCCCCCUGCUGUUGUUAAGGUCAACUGCAGAAUAGGGAGGAGCCCAGUGGAUUUGUUACGAAGACGACUUCGUUCUUUUUUUUUUUUUUUUUUUUCAACGUUUAUUUUAUUUUUGGGACAGAGAGAGACAGAGCAUGAAUGGGGGAGGGGCAGAGAGAGAGGGAGACACAGAAUCGGAAACAGGCUCCAGGCUCUGAGCCAUCAGCCCAGAGCCCGACGCGGGGCUCGAACUCACGGACCGCGAGAUCGUGACCUGGCUGAAGUCGGACGCUUAACCGACUGCGCCACCCAGGCGCCCCACGACUUCGUUCUUAAUCCUCAGAAGUAUUCUUGGAUUUUUGAACAGUUUCAAUUUUAGAUAGUUUUAGCUUUGUCCAUGUUGUGUUCUUUAUAUAACGAUGUGUGUGGGUCUGUAGGCACUUGGAAUUCUCUGUUUUAGGCAUGUGUCUUCAGCAGCCCCUCAUACUUUGGUAACACAGAAAGCGUUGUGUGGAACUUCUCUAAAGUGGAACAAAAAAAUCUAAGUAGAGGGUCUAUGUAUAAUGAUUGUUGGGUGUGUGUUUGUUCAAAGGGUGCAAUUUUUAAACUGAAAAUUUUAAAGGUCUCUGUAGAAUUUUUGGCCAUGUUAUUUAGAACUGGCAACUUCUUACCACGUCCACCAGUUAGUAAGAACUCUUUUUAUGUUUUAUUUUUUCUAUUAUGGUAAAGCCAGAACUGCAGAUUGACUGCCACAGAUUUUUCAAACGUGUGUUAUUUGGCCCGUACAGGUUUGAACACAUUCGAGCCAGCACUGAAAAAUACGGAGAUUUCCACAUAAAUAUUCAGGCUCUUGGAUCCUUAUGAUAAAUGACCUGAUCUGGCAGGCCUGGCUGGGACAUUGUGA
rnacentral:lncRNA from 1 species